rnacentral:rRNA from 1 species
AUUGAACGCUGGCGGCAGGCCUAACACAUGCAAGUCGAGCGAGCGGCGGACGGGUGAGUAAUGUAUGGGGCCUGCCCGAUAGAGGGGGAUAACUACUGGAAACGGUGGAUAAUCCCGCAUACUAUCGGAUAACACAUAUGGGAUUAGCUAGUAGGUGGGGUAAAGGGUCACAUAGGCGACGAUAGCUAGCUGGUCUGAGAGGAUGAUCAGCCGCACGGGGACUGAGGGACGGCCCAGAGGCCCAGGUAUGCCGCAGUGGAGCAUAUGGGGCUAUGGGCGCAAGCGCGAUGCACUCAUGCCGCGUGUCUGCAUGAGGCCUUAGGGUUUUAAAGUACUUUCAGUGGUGAGGCGUUACCCGGAGAAGAAGCACCGGCUAACUCCGUGCCAGCAGCCGCGGUAAUUC